rnacentral:rRNA from 1 species
AUGAACGCUGGCGGCGUGCCUAAUACAUGCCAGUCGCGCGAACAGACGAGGAGCUUGCUCCUCUGACGUUAGCGGCGGACGGGUGAGUAACACGUGGAUAACCUACCUAUAAGACUGGGAUAACUUCGGGAAACCGGAGCCAAUACCGGAUAAUAUAUUGAACCGCAUGGUUCAAUAGUGAAAGACGGUUUUGCUGUCACUUAUAGAUGGAUCCGCGCCGCAUUAGCUAGUUGGUAAGGUAACGGCUUACCAAGGCAACGAUGCGUAGCCGACCUGAGAGGGUGAUCGGCCACACUGGAACUGAGACACGGUCCAGACUCCUACGGGAGGCAGCAGUAGGGAAUCUUCCGCAAUGGGCGAAAGCUUGACGGAGCAACGCCGCGUGAGUGAUGAAGGUCUUCGGAUCGUAAAACUCUGUUAUUAGGGAAGAACAAAUGUGUAAGUAACUAUGCACGUCUUGACGGUACCUAAUCAGAAAGCCACGGCUAACUACGUG